GGGACCGAACCCAGGGCCUUGCGCUUCCUAGGUAAGCGCUCUACCACUGAGCUAAAUCCCCAGCCCCAACUAUCCUUUUUUUUUUAAAGAUUUAUUUAUUUCAUGUAUGAGAAUACACUGUGGCUAUCUUCAGACACAGCAGAAGAGGUCAUCGGAUCCCAUUACAGAUGGUUGUGAGCCACCAUGUGGUUGCUGGGAAUUGAACUGAGAACCUCUGGAAGAGGAGUCAGUGCUCUUAACCUCUGAGCCAUCUGUCCAGCCCCCAACUAUCCAUCCAUUUUUAUCAUUGACUGUUCAUAACGAUUAAAAGUUCUCUUUUUGUUUUUGUCUUUUUGCAACAGGGUCUUGCUAUAUGUCUCUGGCUGUUGUGUUAGUCACUCUGUUGACCAGGCAGAGGUAGGUGUAUCUGUUUGAGUUCCAGGAUGGCCAGGGCUACACAGAGAAACUGUGCCCUGACACUCCCCACCCCACCCCCAAAAAAGGAGUGCUCUUAUUGUUGAAAUGAGUUGGAAGAAUACUUGACUCUAAACACCUAGAGAACAGAUCACCUUUACACUAUGAGACGGUGUCUUUGAGCUAUUUUUAUUGGUGUGCCCAGGUUCUUGCCUUUGAGGAAAAGUAUAGAACAAGAAAUGAUUUUCUUGUGAUAUUAAAGAUGCUGUUUUAUUCUAUUUGUACUCUGAGAUGUGAGUUAGGAUCUGCCAAUGCCGUGAUGCUUAGAAAAGUGGCACAAUCAGCUAGAUGUAUCUGCAGAGGACAGGCACCAAGACUGUGCUUGACCGGCUCUUGGCAUUUACUAUAGGAUAUAAUGUGCUUUCAUUGUACCCAGCAGGACUUAAGAUAGUAAUGCCUACAUAAUCUGGGGCAUAAGUAUGUGGAAAUAAACAUGAGCUUCACAUCCCAGGAAUUCCAUAUCCUUUGCUUUGCAGGAAACACAACAAAAGGAUCCUCCAAGCCAUAUACAUGUACACACAUUGUUGGGUAGGUAGUCAGCCUAGAUACGGGGUUUCCUGAUAAGCUUAUAAUGUGAUGAUCUGGUCCUGAUCUUAGGAGCAGCAGUUACCCAUACAAAGCCUACCAUCUCUGGGGAUGUGAAAGGGACAGGAGGAGAACCCACCCUAGGUAGCUGCUCUAAGAGACUUGAUGCCCUACCCCAAACAAGGAUAGCCUCACACAGUUUCUAGCUCCUGGCCACCAGUGGAAGACUUGAAAUUUCCUCUCUGCAUUGCUACCAAACUUAAAAGCCUAUGUUUUUUAAACUAGAAACUGGAAGGAAGGAAUCUGGGAUACGGAGAGACUUGGAGGCCUGGGUGAAACAUCAGUCCUGACAGUGGUUUUUCUCUUGACAGUGCCACUUUUUUGUCCUCAUGGGAGAUUUAAAUCAACAAGAUUUUUAUUUUUAAAAAAAAAAUGAUUUCCUUAUAAUGCUUCUUUUCCUCAACUUACUUUGACCUGGCCAGAAAAAUUUAAUUGAUUUGGUAAAUAGCAUUUGUUUUAUUGAGCAGUAGACAUUGAGAGAAAUGAAAACUGGGUUUCUUAAUUUACUUCACGGGCUGAAGCAUCAGCAUAUGUGAUAGACAGGUUUUGCCACUGCAGACCUUGGGGCUCAAUGACAAGAGCUAGGCAUUACAGCCUGCUGGGUCAGGAUUAUAUAUGAACAGCAAGCUGCUCCCACUGAGGGCCAGGGAAGAGGAAAUUUCUCAUUUCUGAACAAGUUGAAUUUUAUAUAAACUAUUAAUUUACUUUAUGAGAAUUAAAACUGAGUUUAAAAGAGCCCUGAUAGUUUUUCAUUUUUCAUAAACAGUGUCAGCAUCUUCUCAGUCCCUUUUACUUAAUGGAAGAUGUUUAUUUAAUAAUAGAAAGAAUAGGGGCUGGAGACAUGUCUCAGUGGUUAAGAGCACUGACUGCUCUUCCACAGGUCCUGAGUUCAAUACCCAGCAACCACAUGGUGGCUCACAACCAUCUGUAAUGAGAUCUGAUGCCCUCUUCUGGUGUGUCUGAAGACAGCUAUGGUGU
ensembl:lncRNA